rnacentral:rRNA from 1 species
UACGAAGGGGGCUAGCGUUGCUCGGAAUUACUGGGCGUAAAGCGCACGUAGGCGGCUUCUUAAGUCGGUGGUGAAAUCCUGGAGCUCAACUCCAGAACUGCCUUCGAUACUGGGAAGCUCGAGUCCGGGAGAGGUGAGUGGAACUGCGAGUGUAGAGGUGAAAUUCGUAGAUAUUCGCAAGAACACCAGUGGCGAAGGCGGCUCACUGGCCCGGUACUGACGCUGAGACGCGAAAGCGUGGGGAGCAAACAGG